GCAUUUGGUUCAUGUGCUUGGCUGAUAAGCCAAUGGUGCGAAGCUACCAUCUGAGGGAUUAUGACUGAACGCCUCUAAGUCAGAAUCCCGCCUGGAAAGCGACGAUGCAUUCGUGCCUCGGCCUCGAGAGGCGUAGCUAGACGGCCGUGUGGCCGUGGAAAGAGCCCGAUUCCGACCCGAGAGGCCGCGGCAAGAGGCGGCCUCGAAGUCGGUGGAUCCUCCUGCUCGAAAGGCGGGGUGCUAAACCAUUCGCAGACGACCUAGUUGAAGAUCGGGGUGUCGUGAUCACUAGAGCAGUACAUCUCACUGCGAUUUGUUGAGAGUAAGCCUCAAGAUCUGUCGGUUUGU
rnacentral:ncRNA from 1 species